UGACUUGGUUUAAAUAUCCUAAAGACAGCCGAUCCCAUCUGAUCUUGGAAGCUAAGCAAGUUCAGCCCUGGUUAAUACUUGGAUGGCAGACCACCAAUGACUACCAGAUGCUGUGGGCU
rnacentral:rRNA from 1 species